GCUGACUGGGGUGAGACGCAGCAGCAGAUCUGAAGAUAUGAUCUCGUCUUGCCGGCGAGUUGUAAUUAUCAGAAGAUGUUUCGUGUGCGGCGACGGUGCCAGUACCUCGGUAGCAAGCGUCAUAGAAGGUGAGUGCACCGUAAAUGACCAACGAGCCAACAACCGUGUGAAGAAGUUUCGACGAGUCGAGUUGUUGGGGAAUGCAGCACUAAAUGGGUGGUAAAUUUCAUCUAAGGCUAAAUACCUGCCAGAGACCGAUAGCGCACAAGUAGAGUGAUCGAAAGAUGAAAAGCAGCUUUAAAAGAGAGUCAAACACACGUGAAAAAUUAAAAAAGAAAAGCUUGCAACCAGACUCGCUCGCGGGGUUCAGCCGUCGUCCUGGGACGGUGCAUUCUCACGCGAUCGGGCCAGCAUCGGUUUUGGCGGCCGGACAAAAACCUUGGGAACGUAGCUCUCUUCGGGGAGGAGUAUAAUCCGGGGUGCAACAAGGCCUGCCGGGACCGAGGACCGCCGUUUUUUUAGGAUGAUGGUGUAAUAAUGGCCAGCAGCCCGUCGUCAAACACCGACCAAGGAGUAGUCCUCCCGCCGGAGUGUUUGGGCGUUAAACCCAUCCGCGUAACAAAAAAAAACGGAGGUGGGAGGAGCCUGGGUGCACCAUCGACCGAUCCUGAUGUCUUCGGAUGGAUUUGAGUACGAGCGCCGGGGGUCGGACCCGAAAGAUGGUGAACUAUACGUGAAUAGGGUGAAGCCAGAGGAAACUCUGGUGGAGGCUCGCAGCGGUUCUGACGUGCAAAUCGAUCGUCAAAUUUGCGUAUAGGGGCGAAAGACUAAUCGAGCCGUCUGG
rnacentral:rRNA from 1 species